AAACCAUUACAAGAUGGGUUUCCGAUUACCUUCUAUUAGACGUGCUUCUUUUAUAGGUAGCCAAGCAUCGUCAAAAACUUUGAAUUGCCAAAAGGUUAUCUUGCUGUGUAUGUUGGAGAGAAAUGAAGCGCUUUGUUAUUCCUAUGUCUUACUUGAACCAACCUUCAUUUCAAGACUUGUUGCAUGCAGCUGAGAAGAAUUCGGAUAUGAUCAUCCGAUGGGCGGCCUCACAUUCCUUGCACGCAGAUGUUUUCUUGCAUAUUACUCUCCGCUUCAAUGGACUAUGAAACUCUAGCUGCAAGAUACUGACAAUUAGGAUUAGCAGUGACAUUUUGUACAACAGUCACAUAUUUAUAUUUGUAUAGAUUUUCCUUUCCGCUACUUUUUGGGAAUGGUAGAAUUGUCCAUCUGAAUGACAAAUUCAGGAAACAAAAUAUUGUGUUAUAUUUAUUUCUAAUCAUAAUGAAAUAAUAUUCAACAACGAGACGGUUUGCCUAUAUGCUUCUUAUUUAUAAAUUCUAAUACAGAAAUAUAUUGUUUUAAUGUAAAAAUCAGUUCGCAAUCAGUAAUAAUUUCUAGUUUAAGGCCAGUGUGUUAUCAUUAUAUCAACCAAUUAUUCUAACAUUUAUCGGGCCUAGUUAAUUAUUAGCCGAACAUAAUUGUAGAUAAGUUAGCCUUUUAUCCUAAGUUAUAAUUUUUUUACACACCUUAUGAUUCUAUUCUAUCAACUGCUUCUUCAUCUUAGGCAAGAGGGCAAAAUGAAACUGAGAUAAGUUGCAAGGACAGUAAAUGUUUGUUUGUCUUUCGGGCGAAGUUGUUUGACGCACAAGCAGCUCUGAUUAAGGGAAGCUUUGAGUUAUGUUAUUUACUGAAUCAUGUUUAACUGCCCAUUUUAUGUGUUAGAGUUUUGGCUAAGAAAGAAACUAGCAAUAGAAGACUUUCAUAAUUUGGAUCAAUAAGUGGUAAGCCCUGACUCCUAUUAUUUGAUGUUUAUCUUCAAUUUGAGGCUCUAAAUAUAUGUCUCCAAUAGAUGCUCUCCGCUUAUAGUGCUCUGCUCAGUCUCUGUUAAUUAGCUCCGUAAAACAAUGAACUGCAUGGCAUGUAAUUUUGAGACUGUGAUAUAUUUUGAUUUAAGAAAGGAAUACUAAAUUAUUGGAGACUGAGAUAAUCUUUUGUUAGUAAUGUAAUAGACAGUUCCAUUAAAUUGGGGCAUGGCUUCAUUGACUUGUGUUUGUGCAUGCAACACAAGUAUUUAAGAUCGAGAUUAAAACAACAGAGAAUUCAUCAGAGUAUGAAUUUGGUUUGUUUUAGCUUUAAUUAACACGUCUCUAGUACUAAUAAAUAUUAGUUUGAUUAGAUGAGUUCCAAAAACAACGGAUGAAUUCACAAAAAAUAUAGUUUUGAUUAGAUUCCCUCAUUUCAUAUUUCCCACUUAGAGGAAACAUCAAAAUUGACAGGAAUUCCUGAAUGUACAAAAAUUGUCUCCACUAACUUAGAUCUACACUGUUUCUAUGCUAACCAUUCAUUAUGCAUUUUUUGCCGUAUGAAUUCUUAUAGGUUGUUCAAGCAAGAAACUGUAUAAAUGUAAGUCGAUAUCUUCCUUGCACGGAUUGUAAGACCGCCCAUUAAGGAUGAACAGUAACCGUAUUCAAUACUCAGCUUGAUAAGCAGUUCUUGAAAUAAAGGCUCGUUCAAGAUAAGAUAAUUGGAAUCAAAACCUCCCUUGCUUUCUCUCCGACAUAACACGCAAGAUAAGCCUUUUGGGACUCACCUUGUUUGCUAGAUAAUGAUCGUCUUAUACGCAGGGUUAAGUGAAAACCCAUUCCGUUUUGUUUCUUGACAAUAGAAUGAUCUCAAAGAAGUAGGAGAAGAAAGAAAUGAACUUGAAUUCUGACGCUUCCAAGGUAUGAAUGGUUUGUGUUGCUUGUAAACCCAAUGAUGGAUAUAUAUAUAGAGAGAGUUUGAAAACCAAUUGUAUAGCGAAUGAGUUAUUGAAUGGGUGUUAGUGGGAGCCAUGGCUCAUUAAUGAUCACAUGGUACUGUCUUGAAAGCUUUCCUAGAGGACCAUAAAAUGUGAGAUUACAUACCCCACCUUUUGAAAAAGAGACUAGAGAUAGCUUACUUAAUAUAAUUCAGACAAGCUCUAGACACAUCAAAUGUCUUGUUCUUGUUUUUGUAAGACAAGUUAUAUCCAACCAAUAAACAAUGCAAUCUUCUUGGAUGCUGCUGCAACUUUGUAUGGACAGACUACGGCCACGUUGUUGAUCUAACCGUAAAAAUGUGGCUGAUAUAUCAAUUAGAUAAAUUUAAUUACUGUAGAGUCUUAAGAAAUCACUCAUUUAAUCUUUGAGAAAGACCUCUAGACACUUUCAUGUGAUCUCUUGUCAACAUUAAGCUGUGUUGGCUAUGAGAAGAGAACAUGUGACAUGUCUAAUGCAUGUCUGAAAAGAAAAUGAGUAGGUAUUGUACAAGCUAGCAUUCAGUUUAACAUAAGCCUUUCAUUCAGAAGAUUGGUUUGCACUCUAAUAGAACUUAUUGAUCCUUGACAACACCAUGUGAUCUUUCAUCUCAUGCCCCCCAUCAUUUUAAAAAUCAUUUCUCUACCAAAGGGAUUUCAAGAAACUGUUGGAAACUAUAAAUAUAGUGUUCUCCUUCACAACAAUCACAAAUCACUCGAGCAGUCAAACUUAGAUACAUUUUUCUUAUUUGACAAAUUCAGCCGGUUCUUCAAAAUAUUUGAAAUUGGUUUCCCUUUACCUUCAACUAUUAGAAAGGCAUCAUUUAGCAGCAGCCGGACUUCAACAACGAAUGGGUUCCUAUAUGCUUCUAUUUAUAAAUUCUAAAACAGAAAAUAUAUUGUUUAUCAAAAUUCAGUCCAAUCAGUAAUAAUUUUCUAGUUUUGAAGGCAGUGGUUAUCAUUAUAUCAAACCAAUUAUUCUACAUUUAUUGGCCUAAUUAAUUAUUUAGCCAAACUAUAAUUGUAGAUAAGUUACCUUGUAUCUAAGUUUAAUUUUUUUUUACACACCUUAUGAUUGUAUUCUAUCAACUGCUUCUUCAUCUAGGCUGAGCAAUGAACUGAUGAUAAGUUGCAGGUUUUGUCUGUUCGGCGAAGUUGUUUGAUUACAACGACUGUGAUUAAGGGAAGCUAAGCCAGAGCCUAGUACUUGGUUUCAACUGAUGGUCCAGCAAAACUUUGAAUUAUGUUUUUUACUUGAAAUUCAUGUUUAACUGCCCUUUUAUGUGUAGAUUUUGGCUUAACCCAGAGAACUAGCAGUAGAAGACUUUUCAUAAUUUGCUCAAUACGUGGUAAGCCUCAACUCUAUUAUUUGAUGCUUUAUCUUCAAUUUUAGGCUCUAGUUGACUGUCUCCAAUAUAUGCUCUGUUAUAUGCUCUAAAAAUAAGCAUUUUUUAUUGUCUAGUCAUUUUUCCUAAAAAUAUAAUAUUAAUUUAAAAAAGGAUACUAAAUGUAUGGAGACUGUGAUAUUAUUUUGAUUAGUAUGUAAUAGACGGUAUCCAUUAAAUUGGGGGCAUGGCUUCAUUGGCUUGUGUUUGUGCAUGCAACACAAGUAUUUAAGAUGACAUAAAAGUUAACAGAUGAAUUCAUCAAAGUAUAAUUUGGUUCCGUUUUAGGCUUUAUUUACUACCUCUCUAGUAUUAAUUAAUAUUAGUUUGAUUAGAUGAGUUCACAAAAAACAACAGAUGAAUUCACAAGAAUAUAGUUUGAUUAGAUUCUCAUUAAUAAUUUGGUUCCGUUUUAGGCUUUAUUUACUACCUCUCUAGUAUUAAUUAAUAUUAGUUUGAUUAGAUGAGUUCACAAAAAACAACAGAUGAAUUCACAAGAAUAUAGUUUGAUUAGAUUCUCAUUUCAUAUUUCCACUUAAGAGGAAACAUCAAAAUUGAUAGGAAUUCCUGAUGUACAAAAAUUGUCUCAACUAGUAAAUCUACACUGUUCUAUGCUAACAUUCAUAUGCAUUUUUUCCUGUAUGAAUUCAUUAUAGGUUGUUCAAGCAAGAAACUGUAUGUAAGAAGAUAUCUUCCUUGCACGGAAUUGUAAGCCCGCCCAUUGGAUGACAGUAACCGUAUUCCUCUUCAGCUUGGAUAAGCAAUUCUUGAAAUAAAGGCUCGUUCAAGAAUGAUAUUGGAAUCAAAAACCUCCUUGCUUUAUCUCCAACAUACACCGCAAGAUAGCCUUUUGGGACUUCCACUUGUUUGCCAGAUGAUGGUCGUCUAAUACCAAGUAAGUGAAAACCCAUUCUUGUUUUUGUUUCUUGACAAUAGAAUGAUCUUAAAGAAGUAGUAGAAGACAGAAACGAACUUGAAUUCUGACGCUUCAAGGUAUGAAUGGUUUGUGCUGCUUGUAAACCCAAUGAUGGAUAUAUAUAGAGUUUGAAAACCAAUUGUAUAGUGAAUGAGUUAUUGAAUGGAUGUUAGUGGGAGCUAUGGCUCAUUAAUGAUCACAUGGUACUGUCUUGAAGGCUUUCCUAGAGGACCAUAAAAUGUGAGAUUACAUACCCCACCUUUUGAAAAAGAGACUAGAGAUAACUUACUUAAUAUAAUUCAGACAAGCUCUAAACACAUCAAAUAUCUUGUUCUUGUUUUUGUAAGACAAGUGAUAUCCAACCAAUAAACAAUGCAAUCUUCUUGGAUGCUGCUGCAACGUUGUAUGGACAGACUACUGCCACAUUGUUGAUCUAACCGUAAAAUGUCGCUGAUAUAUCAAUUGGAUAAAUUUAAUCACUGUCGAGUCUUAAGAAAUCACUCAUUUAAUCUUUGAGAAAGACCUCUAGACAGAUUCAUGUGAUCUCUUGUCAACAUUAAGCUGUGUUGUCUAUGUGAAGAGAACAUGUGCCAUGUCUAAUGCAUGUCUGAAAAUAAAUGAGUAGGCAUUUUACAAGCUAGUAUUCAGUUUAACAUAAGCCUUUCAUUCAGAAGAUUGGUUUGAUCUCUAAUAGAACUUAUUGAUCCUUGACAAGAAACUGUUGGAAACUAUAAAAUUAGUGUCCUCCUUCACAACAAUCACAUGUUACUCAAGCAGUCAAACUUAGAUAUACAUUUUUCUUAUGUGACAAGUUCAGCCGGUUCUUCAAAAUAUUUGAAAUUGGUUUCCUUUUACCUUCAACUAUUAGAAAGGCAUCAUUUAGCAGCACCCGGACUUCAUCAAAAGUUACGAAUGUGCCGAAGGGUUAUCUUUCACUGUACGUUGGAGAGCAAAUGAAGCGGUCUGUGAUUCGGAUGUCAUAUUUGAACCAAUGGUCAGCCUCACAAUUCCUUGCACAAGAAGAUGUUUUCUUGCAUAUAACUUCUGGCUACAUUCAAUUUCACAUUCAUUCCACGUUCAAUUUGGAAGAGAAUGACUUCCACAUUCUAUAUAUGCUCGUGUUAUCCGUUUUACAUAUAACAAAUUCAGAGUUCAAGUUCUCACUUUUUCAUCUACUACUUCUUUGAGACCAUUCUACUACUUUGAAAAGAGACAAUGGAAAAAAAGAAAUUGCAGUUCACAUGUUUCUGGGGCUGAAUUGCUGGAUUAGAAAAAAGUCUAUACAGAAGUUAAACCCAUCAAAUAAUAGAAUUCAGAUUUACCACUUAACCCAAUUAUGGAAUGUCUAUCUACGAUGACAAUUAGUUGACGGAUUUUGAGGAUAUUUCUAAUCAGUUGGUUUUUCAUUUUGAGGGGAUGGUGCUAAUACUAUUCAAGUUCACAUGUUUCUGAGGCUGAAUUGCAGGACUAAAAGGAGUCUGUACUGAAGUUAACCACAUCAAAUGUUUCUAACCCAAUUGGUUUUACAUUUUACAUUUUGAGGAAAUUUCCAAUACUGAUAAUAAUUGCUUGGAUACUAGUUUGAUUGAGGAAAUCAUUCCUAGCUUUGUUGAUGGAUAGAACAAUAAUAUGCUUAAUAUUUUCAAUGAAAAGGAGGUGAGGUGUUGAACAUAGUAGGGAGAUUGGUGUAACUAACUAGUACAUAGAAUAGAUUAACUGAAUCCUAACUAACCUUUAGUUAGUUAUCAAUUGGCUAGAUAGAGGUUCAAGUUAGUUACAAGUUACUUGCUCUAUAAGUUAUCAUAUUCAGGUGUAUGCAUGGAUGAUGAUGAGUAGUGAAAAAUUCUGCAACAUAUCUUUCUUCUUCGAUCUUUCUUUCUGCACUUUUACAUUUUUAGCUUGAUUCUUAACAUGGUAUCAUCGACCCCUGAUCAAGUCUCCACUGUUGCACUCACUUAACUCAUCUCUUCCAUCUUGGUUUUCUCUCAGUUUUCUGCAUUGUUCCAAUUGUGUUUUUCUGUGUUAACCAUGCCAGUUGCAAGCUCUGCAAGCAGCCUCAAUGGCAGAACUCCAUCACAUGCCAAUAACAAAGGUUAUCAAACCGAUACCCUCAAUCCCUAUUUCAUGCAUCCCAAUGAAAAUCCUGCUUUGGUUCUGUUUCCCCUUUGCUUUCAAACAAUAAUUAUCAUUCUUGGGCAAGAUCCAUGGCAAUUGCUCUAAGAUCCAAGAACAAACUUCAUUUUAUCAAUGACAGCUUACCUUGACCACUGGAUGAAGAUCACAAUUCCCUUGCUUGGGAUCGAUGCAACACUAUGACCAUGUCAUGGAUUCACAAUUUUUGAAUCAGAUAUUGCUCAAAGUGUAUUAUGGAUGGAUACUGCAGUUGAAAUUUGGAACGAACUGAGAGACCGUUUUAACCAAGGUGGUGUAUUCAGAAUAUCAAAUCUUCAAGAUGAAAUAUGCAACUUGAAACAAGGUGAUUCAUUUAUUUCUUCUUAUUACACAAAGCUUAAGAAAUUGUGGUAAGAAUUGAACAAUUUUCGUCCAAUUCCCGACUGUUCAUGUGAUGCUACUUGCCAAGCUAUCACCAAGAUUCGUGCAUACAAAGAUGGUGAUCAAGUUAUCAGAUUCCUCAAAAGUCUGAAUGAUCAAUAUUCAGCUGUGAGGUCCCAAAUCAUGCUAAUGGAACCACAUCUAACCAUCUGCAGAGUUUACUCUCUCCUUGUUCAACAUGAAAGACAAGCUAUCUUACCUAUUGAUGAAUCAAAGGUAUUAUCUUUUCCUAAUCUCAGUCAACCUCAAAACCAUACCUCCAAAUCCAAUAUCAAUUCUUGUGGUAGAGGCAUUAGAGGUGAUCGAUCAUUUGGUGGAAGAGGCCGAGGUUCACGAAUUUGCACUCAUUGUGGCAUGGCCAACCACACAGUUGAUUCUUGCUUCAAAAAUCAUGGUUUUCCCCACAUUGGAAGCAAGAUGGCACAAUCAACCGUUAUGCAACUAUUACUGACAAAGUAGAGGAAUCUCAAAUUGAUUUCAAUGGAGUAAAUGAGCAAGUUCAAGGUAACUUGAUUUUCACACCAGUCUAGCAUAAAGCAUUGCUGGCUCUCCUUCAGGGAUCCUCAUCUUCCCAGGCUCACAACAUCAUCAUCUGGCAACUCAACUUGAAAGUGACUCAGGUAUCAUAUGCACUAUUCCUCACCUUCCUAGACCUAAUAACUUUAUACUUGAUACUGGUGCAACUGACCAUGUAUGUCACACAAAAGAUUUUUUUUCAAUGCAUCAAAAUAAUCAAUCCCAUAACCAUCAAAUUGCCAAAUGCAGCACUUGUCACUACUAAUUAUGCUGGAACCAUACACUUUGAUCAAUAUUUAUAUAUCACUGAUGUUUUAUACAUGCCUGAUUUUUCCUUUAAUCUCAUAUUUGUUCCCAAGCUAACCAAAACCUUGAGCUAGCAAUUGAUGUUUAAUGAUACUGAUUGUAUUAUACAGGAUACUCACUCCAAGAAGAUGAAUGGCACAACUAGAUUAAAUGGUGGAUUGUAUAUCUUAGAUUCUCCCUCAGUUACCUUGUAUCACACUCUAUCAACUCACUUUAUUGAUACCUUACAUAAUCACUCUUUAGACACAUCAUAAAAUUGUAAUCUUUGGCACUUAAGGCUUGGCCACCCCUCAGAUACCAAUUUAAUUUAAUUAAAUAAAUGUUUUCCUUUUGUCAAAUCUGUGAAUUCUGCUAUUCCUUGUGAUGUAUGUUUCUAUGGUAAGCCAAAAAGACUUCCAUUUUCCCUUAGUUCUCAUAUUUCUACUUUUGUUUUUGAUUUAGUGCAUAUGGAUAUUUGGUGCCCCUUAUCCACACCAUCUAUGAUGGGAUAUAGACACUUUCUAGUUGUUGUGCAUGAUAAAAGUAGGUUCCCUUGGUUAUUUCUCAUGAGAUUGAUAUCUGAAGCACCGUCCAUCAUGAAAUCAUUUGAUUCAAGUCACUCUUUACUUAAAGUAUAUUUAUAAUUUAAGAGAGGAUAUUGAAUGUAGGGAGAUUUUGAUAAUCUUUUGAUUAACAAAUACAUAAUAUAAACUUUUAUGUAUAGUGGAAGGGCUGCUAGGAACUUAGACUAAAGGGUUGCCACUAAUUGAAUGCUUUCUGACAACAGCUUCAACGAUAAGUCCAUGUGAAGGGCACGAGAAUUCCUUGUGAUUGUGGAUUCCAUCACCUUCUUCAAACAUCACAAAAAAAUGCAACAUACAAAUACAAUUUAAUCGGUGACUAAGACGUUGUUUUGAGUUUUGUUGACUCAUGUAUGGCCUUGUAAUACAUACCAUACCAGGUUUGUAUUAUCAUAUCUAUUAUUAGUAUGUAAUAGACAGAAUCCAUCAAAUUGGAGCAUGGCUUCAUUGGCUUGUGUUUGUGCAUGCAAUGCAAGUAUAUAAGAUGACACAAAAAACAGCAUAUAAAUUCACAAGAAUAUAGUUUGAUUAGAUUCCCAUUCCAUAUUUCCACUUAAGAGGAAACAUCAAAAUUGACCGGAAUUCCUGAUGUACAAAAAUUGUCUCAACUAGUCAAUCUACACUGUUCUAUGCUAACAUUCAAAUGGAUUUUUUGCUGUAUGAAUUCAUUAUAGGUUGUUCAAGCAAGAAGCUGUAUGUAAGAAGAUAUCUUCCUUGCACGGAAUUGUAAGACCGCCCAUUGGAUGACAGUAACCGAAUUCCUCUUCAGCUUGGUUAAGCAAUUCUUGAAAUAAAGGCUCGUUCAAGAAUGAUAUUGGAAUCAAGAACCUCCUUGCUUUCUCUCCAACAUACACCGCAAGAUAGCCUUUUGGGACUUCUACUUGUUUGCUAGAUGAUGAUCGUCUAAUACCAGGUAAGUGAAAACCCAUUCUCGUUUUGUUUCUUGACAAUAGAAUGAUCUCAAAGGAGUAGUAGAAGAAAGAAGUGAACUUGAAUUCUGAUGCUUCAAGGUAUGAAUGGUUUGUGUUGCUUGUAAACCCAAUGAUGGAUAUAUAUAUAGAGAGAGUUUGAAAACCAAUUGUAUAGCGAAUGAGUUAUUGAAUGGGUGUUAGUGGGAGCCAUGGCUCAUUAAUGAUCACAUGGUACUGUCUUGAAGGCUUUCCUAGAGGACCAUAAAAUGUGAGAUUACAUACCCCACCUUUUGAAAAAGAGACUAGAGAUAGCUUACUUAAUAUAAUUCAGACAAGCUCUAAACACAUCAAAUAUCUUGUUCUUGUUUUUGUAAGACAAGUGAUAUCCAUCAGUACAUGAAAUCUAAUCAAUAAACCAUGCAAUCUUCUUGGAAGCUGCUGUAACUUUGUAUGGACAAGCUACUGCCACAUUGUUGAUCUAACCGUAAAAUGUGGCCGAUAUAUCAAUUGGAUAAUUGACAAGGAUCAAACCAUGAACUUUGCUUCCACAGUUGAGCCAAACAUUAACUGAAAUAGUAAAAGUAAGAACAUCUUAAGGUUCUGUUUAUGGGCUUAUGUAAAUUCUUAAAAUUUAAUCUAUGUUAUAAAAUUCUUAAAAUUAGAAGUAUAUUAAUCAUAUAUUAAAGAUUGUUUCCUUUUGAAUCAUUGCUCAACAUUUUAAAAUAGGUUUAUCAAUCAAGUUCUGCUACCAAACUAUUCUUAUAAGCUGCAAAAAUCAUCAAACAUUUAUCUGUUCACGUUAGAAUAGAAUAUCUUUGCAGGGAAAUGUUGCUAGACUUUUCUUCGGAAGACUGCAACUAUUGAAAAGGAUAUAUAUAGGGUUGUUGACAUUAAUAAUUCAGUUUCAGGAUACAGUUUUCUGCUACUUGUGGAUUCAAACGUGUACUACUACUAUCUUCUGGUUAGGAUGACUACUGACCAAUUCCUUGUUACAGGUUCCAUUGUUGCCUCCUAGCAUAUAUGAUUUGUAGCCACUAAUUGGCUUAAAAGUCACCCCUAAGAUGAUUUUUGCUGCUAUAUGUCGACAUUGAGCCGUGUUACCAGUAUGAAGAGAACAUGGCACAUGUCUACAAUACAUGAAUGGCCAUAAAAUAGAUUUCAAGUGAGUGGUCUACAAAAGGUGUGGUGUAUUAUGCACACUCUUAUUCAACUUACUGGUCCUUGAUAGAGAGACAUCAAAUCAUGUGAUCUCUCAUCUCAUGGACCCCAUCAUUUAACACUGUAAAUGCAUUAUCACCCUCCAUAACAAUCAAAACUCAUUUGCAUACUCAACCAUCAAAAGUUAGAUACUUUUUUCUAAUAUUUCAGAGCCUUAUUUGUUCUUUGAAACAUUUGAAAUGGGCUUUCAUUUGCAUGCAAUUAUUGAUGUGCUUCAUUAAGCAGAAGCCGAACAUCAUCGAAGGUACUGAAUAUGCCAAAGGGCUAUCUUGCCGUGUAGGUUGGAGAAGAAAUGAAGUGGUUUGUGAUCCCCAUGUCAUACUUGAACCAAACUUCAUUUCAAGGCUUGUUGAGUCAAGCUGAGGAAGAAUUUGGGUACGAUCAUUCAAUGGGUGGCCUCACAAUUCCUUGCACAGAAGAUGUUUUCUUGCAUAUUACUUCUGGCUUCGACGGACUAUAAAUCUAAAAUUGCAAGAUAUUGACAUAGACUAGUAUUGACAUUUUGUACAAUAGGCAUAUUUUAAACUUGUAAAUAUUUUCCUUAUUCCUUUAUUGGGAAUGGAUGCAAUUUGUCCAUCUGAAUGACAUAAUUUUGAACAACUCAACUCAGCUCCUCUCUGUUUCUGUUUCUGUUGAUGAAUUACUAGACUAGUGAUUUCUUGGAAAAAAGAUGCUAGUUUCAUCCUAAAGUUAUGAUGAGAGAUUGAUACAAAAGUUUUCCAGGUACGACUUUAGCUUCUAAUUUAAGAAAUAUUCAUCAAGCCUGAGCUGAUAAUGGUAUAAUUUCUAUAAAGGUUUUAAAAUGCAGUUGAAUAUUAGAUAUUACAGCGAAUCGUUGUCAAAAUGUGGGUCAUCUAUUUCCUGGUUUUUUCCUCACUACAGAAAAAAUAUCAUCUUAUCUUUAAAGGGUUCUUACUUCUUGCAGUGUCCAAAUCAUACUACAUCAUCACAUGGCUUGUUACUUUGUCAGUUGUUUUAAAACGAGAAAUUCUAGCUACAAACAUAGGUUUCAACUUCAAAAAUUACCCUCAAUCAUCAAUAAGGCCUAAUCAUUUCAUAUCGAACACAAUUAAUUUGUUACUUGUGUAAGAAGUAACUUAACUACCUUAACAAAUUUAAGUAACUUUUGAAUUAUGCUUUAAGUCUCUAAAUUAAGUAUAUUGAGCAUGUUUUUCAUUUCUUUAAACUUAUCAAUCUCCAAUGGUUUUGCUAAAGCAUCUGCAAUUUGAUUAUUAGUUUUGCAGUCUUCCAUUUGCUUACUUGGUUUCUAAAAAGGUGGAAUUUAGUUUCUAUGUGUUUGCUUUUCCUAUGAGAUAUGAGAUAAUUAUUAAAAUCGGUAAACCACUUCUACCAUAAACUCUGCCUUUUCUUCAUUGUCAAUCUUUAUUUCACGGACCAAUGAUUGCAACCAGAUAUCUCGACAGGCUGCAUUGCAAGUUUAGAUGUAUUCAGACUCACAUGACAACAAUGCCAUAAUGAUUUGUUUCUUAGAAUACCGUUGCAAAAGUUAACUUAUCCCAUUAUACUCCUUUCUAUUUUUUCACCACAUUAGUCUGAAUAAAAAAACCAAUUUAUUUGCUUCUCCGACUUUCAUAUUUUUGAAAAAACACCAAAAUCAAUUAUGUCUCGGAGAUAUUGAAUUAUCUUUUUACUCAUUUCAUAUGUGAUAGUUUAGGUUUCUCCAUAAAUCUACUUACUAAUCUUACACUAAAGCAUAAAUCAUGUCUUGAGUUGCAAGUUUGUCUUCUAAUCUAUAAAACGACGAUUCCUUAAAAUAUCAAUAUUGUGAUUCUUCUUAUGACUCAUCAUUCAUCUUCUAAUUUCACAAACUAAUAGCCAACAAUUGUACUUUAAUCCUCUUCAAUAUGUCAUAUCAAACUCAUUAUUUAUAUGCAAUUUGAAGUCUUUAAUCUCAAAUAUAACCACAACUACUACUUUUCAAUUCUUGUUACUAGGGUAAAGAUUUAUGUAUAAUCAAGGUUAUUAUUUUUCAAAAACCCUUUUGCAAUAAGUCUUCCUAAUUCUUUGCAAUGGGGCCAUUUGAUAGGUACUUGAAUUUUUAAAUCUACUUGACUUUUUAUGUGCCGGUAGUGAUACUAGAUUCCAAGUCCAAUUAUGUACUAUUUGAGCGCCUCAGAAAAUUUAGAUUGCGUCUGAAUCUAGCUAAGUGUACAUUUGGGAUCCGAUCAGGGAAGUUAUUUGGUUUCAUUGUUAGUCAACGAGGAAUUGAAGUAGAUCCAGACAAGGUCAGAGCGAUACAAAAAAUUCCAGCUCCACGAACUGAAAAGCAAGUUGGAGGUUUUCUUGGAAGAUUGAACUAUAUUUUCAGGUUUAUUUCCAACAUGACUGCUGUAGCGGUAAAUUCAUGACCAUUAAGCUAUGGAUAAACUUAACGUCAAUAAAACUAGAGUCGGCACCGCACUUUUAUUUUUCCAAAGGAAAAGGGAAAAGUACAAAAAAACCCCAAAGAUAAGAAGUUUUCAAAUAAAAACUAAUAAAAUGCCAGAGAUUACAAGUAAGGGGGUUGGUUACACAAAGGGAAGAUGUUAGCACCCAAGGUACUCUUAGGGAGUCAUUUUUUAUGUGUGUAUGUGUUUUUAGUAUAAAAGAUGUUUGCAAUAAAUAGAGUGUGGGGAUGAGAAAAGAAUUCAUUAAUUAUACUUUUGUGUUUGAGAAGACCUUCAGACUUGUGCCUACGUACCAACAUAAAAAUGAGGGAUCAAAAUCUUGUAGUUCGUGGUAUCAAUUUCAAAAUGAGUGGAUUGCUUUUAAUCAAAAUUAAAGUUUAUAAGAGGCAUAGAAAGGGGCCUAAAAGUUUGAAUGAGUGUUAGUUCUUUUUGUCUUUUGAAAUUUUAAGUCAAUAUGAUUUGAUUUAUUUACAAGUUUGAUUAAGAAAAUAGUUUUAAAAAUGCAAUGACAUAAGGCCGAAGUUUCUAAUUUGCAAUAAAUUCUAAGUUUGAAAUCACAAGCAAAAAAAGUUUUUUAAAAAGGGGGAGAGAUUUUGAAAUUUAAGAAGUGGGAGGAAAUGAAGAGACUAAUCCUAAGCAUAAAAUUAAAAGUUAAUGGUUGAAAAGAUCUAACCAAUGGGAUGCAAUCCAACAGAAAAGAAUGUCAUAUAGAAAACUCACUUUCCCUUUGGACUUUGAAUCAAGCAAUAAUCAGCAAGUAAUUAGCAAUAUCAAGCAAGACAUCAAAUAAAGAUAGUCACAUCCAAGCAAGCAACUUCACAGCUAUCAGUCUUCUUUGCCUUCUCAUGUAUCAGAUGACAUACUCAUUGGCUUUGCUCAGAAUAAGACAUUAGACACAAGUUCAAAGUAACAAUUGCAUCAGAACCAAAUAACAAAUGAAUUCAAGUGGAUCCCAAUACUUGCAUUAGAUGAAAACUCAAAUCACAAUAACUUGGUCUCCGAAAUGUUGGCAUUGACUAAGUCUUUUUUGCAUAUGGAAUGUUGCCUAAUUCUAAGUACAAUAGCUCAGAUCAAAUUCAAUAGUCCACACAAACAUUCUUUAAGGUUUUUGUUGUUUCAUAAGUAUUUUAAGGUCCUAAGACCACAAACACAAACAAAAUAUACAAACAAAUAUAUACAAUCAUAAUAUAUGGCUCAAAUGAGCAAAGUGAAAAUGACAUAAACAUAAACAAGUUAGAUGAUAUGUAAAUGACAAAUGAAAUGGUAAAUGACUUGAAUUUAAAUUGCAUAAAGUAAAUGACUUGAAAAAUAAAAGCAAUAUUAAUACAAGUUAGUCAAAUGUUAGUUGAUUAGAUGUUAGUGAUGUUUUCCUUUUCAAUUGAUUAAGUCAUUCUUUGGAGAACAUUCAACCCUCUAUUCACAAGCAUGGAUCCUUGAACCAAGACAUCUUCCAAAGGAAGGAAAAAAGACCAAGUUUCCACACAAUACCAUGAAAUGGGGGAGACUCACAAUCUCACUUACUAGAAUGCUAUGCCUUUAGGGUCAAAAUUUAGCUCUAUGUUAAGCAAUCGUAAUUUGACUUAUGCAUAAGUCACAACUAUCUGAGGUCGGGUAAUAGAAAUUUUGGCGUCAAUGCAUGUUAGAUAUAUGGUAUAAUGAACCAAACUCCUACAACAUACCACACACAAAAAGAAAAAGAUAAAAGGAUAAACUUAUCUCAUCCAUAAUUGUAUUGGUUCAUCUAACACAAGGUUAUUGAUGAACCAAUUAGCCUUAGGAUAUUGAGAUUUCAUUGAUCAAUGAAAGGGAUGGGAGAGAAUGGGAUUGAAGAUGAAGAGGGAGGGGAUAUGAGAUAAACACAAAUUGGUCAUGGGAGGAAUUUUAUCAAAUUAAAAUCAUUCAUUCAUUUUGGGAGAUGAAAUGUACUUUUCAUCAAUCCCCUAAAUCCAAUGAUUUUAACUCAACAAAAGUUAAAUCAACCUUGACCAAGGCACAAACACAUAGUCAAACAUCACAAGUCAAUAAAAAUGACUCAACAUAAUUUCUACACAAUUAAUCAAUUAAAAAUCAAAUUAAAAAUGCAUUUAAAUUAAAUUUAGUUUGGUCAAAACCUAAAACCUCUUCAAAAUAACAAAUAAAUGGCCAAGAGAUUUAUACUAGGUCAAACAAGGUCAAAGGACCUUACACAAAAAAUUUCAUAAUUUUUGAAAGGUCAGAAGUAUUUUUAAACAAUUAAAAAUAUGCACAAAAACAAUUAAUUCAUGAAAAAUAUCAAAAUUUAUCCAAAAAUUAAUUUUAAUUCAGAAAAUGAGAUAGGAAAAUAUUUAAAUAUUUUUGGUGAAAGUCCCAUGUUUUUUGGAUUAAAAAUGAAAUUGAUAUGAAUUAAUUAAAAUAACACAAUUAAAUGGAAAAUAAGAAAAUAUGAAAAAUCAGUGGUCAUCAGAUCUCCCUCAUUAAUUGAGGUGGCAGGUCUGAUGGCCAAACGCGCGCGUUCCAUGAUGCACUGCAGUCAACGUGUCACACACUUGGUAAUGAGAACCAAUGACUAAGAUUAAAAUAAUUUAAAUGGAUCUUGUGGCUGAGAGGUGUGACAACACACCACCGGAGCUAAGACUUUGGUCUUCUUCUCCGGUGGACCUCACCGGACUGGUCCACCAUCAACCAUCACCAAAAUGAAAAACAAAGACAUAGAUUUAAAGAAAAAUGCUCAGGAGCUCGAAUCUGGCCUCAAUUUUCUCCAAUUACAAGUAUAUAAAAAGAUACAAGGAUUUGAAUUUUGAGGAUCAUGAACUGAGUUGCUUCGAUUUAACCUCAAAGCAACUCAAUCUUCUUGCCUACAUUGGUAGGACUUCAGCCAAGCAAAACUCAUAAAGAAUAGUGAAGAAUUAAGGGAGAAUCGAAGAGAUGAAAAUUCUGGAAAAUUACCUUCGAGGGAGCUUCAAUCUUGCUUGAUCUUGAUUCCAAUUGUGCUUGGAUUUGUUUCAGAAGCUUGUAGGAAGUGAUUAUGUUCAAGAAAUGGCCUGGACUCUUGGAGUUUCAAUCUCAAAACAGAAGGAGAUUUGAAGCUCGAUUUUAAAAUGAAAACCUUCAAGAUUAUCCUUUAAUGGUGAGAGUUUGGAUUGCAGGUUCAAAGCUUGGGCAUGAGGUCCUUAAUUCUGAGUAAUAAGGGUUGUAUUUAUAGCCAAAGAGAUUCAUUUCCACACACUUCCAAAAAUUGCCAAUUUUAGUAAUUCUCUUUGAAUGCUUGCAUGGGUGUGUGAUAGGUCCAUCAAUUGAUGUAUUCAGGUCCAAAAAUGAGUGAGGAUCAUGCUAAAAUCAUGUCAUGUGGCCAUGCAUUUGUGUAUGAAAUGUGGUAGUAAAAAUCAUCCAAAUGGCAUCUCACAUUGCAUCCAUGCGUAAGUCCUUCAUUCUUUGGUCAAAUAAGGUGAUCUUGGACUUUUUGGAAAGGCGAGAUCAAGGGGAACAACUUUUAUGAUGAACACGUUUUUAUUUGAAGCUUGGAUCAUGAUAAAUUUUGAGGUGGAAGUUAGGGAAAUCAAACAUAUUUGAAAAUUUUCUAAGUCCCAAGUCAAAUGUUCACUUCUUCCACCUUGAACAACUUUUUCUAUGGACUUCAAAUGAAAAACAUUCCUUCAUCAAAGUUGUAGCUCUUUCAAAACUAUUAAAUUUGAUCACAAAUUUGACUUUAUUUGGAUUUGUAAUGAAGGAGUUAUGCAUUUUAGAAGUUGAGGAAAAUCACUUGUUCAAUGAUAUUGACCCAAAAUGACCUAUAAUGUUUCCUCUUGGCACAUGCAUUUGCAAGUUGAAUUUGAACUUCCUCCAAAUUUCCGAGUAGUGGUUAGUGACUUAUUUCGUGAGGGACCGACUGUAACGAUUUUGUUAACUUUUUGUGGUGUUAUAAUGAUAGGACAAUUCAUACAAGACAUUAAACAUCAACAACAAAGGAAUAUGGAAUUCUAGACACAAAUAUAAACACCGGAUCAAAUGAUGCAACACUAUGACAAUGGAAAAAGAUUACACAUGUUGCAGUAUCCUUUUGUUGAUGAAACAUGAAAACACAUUGAUCAGAUACAUCUUAGUAACCGGAUCAAAUGAUGCAACACUAUGACAAUGGAAAAAGAUUACACAUGUUGCAGUAUCCUUUUGUUGAUGAAACAUGAAAACACAUUGAUCAGAUACAUCUUAGUUUAAACAUUGAACCACAUAAAUGUGAGACUCCGAUUAUAUUAUGAUGAUUUUACAUCGUAUAUCCAAUUGUUGUUUCGUCAUAUUCUUGUCACUAGUUUGUUUUUAUUUUUUGUUUAUCCGACUUUAAGGUACAUGCAAUUGUUUUUGUAUAAUUUGAUUUUUAUACAUUUUCUAAUUGAGUGAUUAAGUAGGAAAAAAUAAUUUGAGUAGGAGACUUUUAGACAUUAAUUAGUCAAACUUAAAUUAGAUAAUUCUGUAAGUGUUAGAAGAAUUUAUUAAUGAAGAGUAUUAAAUCGAUUACUUUAAGAAAAAUUGAUUAAUAAGACACGGUUAAUUGAUUAAUGAGAAAGGAAUAACUAAUAAUAAGAAUAACAUAAUUGAUUAAUGAGUAAACAAUAGUAAUUUGUAACAGAACAGUAUCAAUUAAUAAAUAAAGAGCAACUAAUAAUAGUAUUGAAUUAAAUUUUUAAACCACUAGAGGACAAACACUAAUUUCAAAAUUAAAAACCACCUGCAUUUAGAAAUUAAUUAGUUAAAGUUAAAUUAGAUAAUUUAUUAAGUGUUAGAAAAAUUUAUUAUUGAAGAGUAUAAAAACGAUUGCUAUAAUUUAAUAGGAUAUUGUUAAUGGAUAAAGAGUAACUAAUAAUAAAGAAUAACUUAUAAUAGUACUAAUCAAUUAAUAAGUAAAGAGUAUUAAUUAUUAGUGAAUGGAUAAUUAAGUAUAAUUAAUAAAAAUAAUAGUAAUGCUAAUUCAAUAAUUAAGUGAUUAAUUAGUUUUCUUACCGCAGAUAGAUUACUAGUUGUAGAAAAUAGUAAGUUUGUAUAGGAGAGCCAAAAAAAAAAAAAAAAAAAAAUUACUAAAGUAUAGUAGUAUACAUGGUGGACCUUGAACUCCUUGAAGAAUUUUGUGUAUAAUUAAUUAGUACUAGUAAUUAAGUGAAGUUGAGGCAAGAGAACGAAUUAAAAAUAGAUGCAGAAUUGAAGAGAGAAAUAAUAAGCAAGGAGAAAUAAUUGUACUACUUACUUUUAGUCCCACAUUGACUGCCUAAUUUCAUUGUUUAGUGUUUAUAUACCAUAGUUAAGAGAACCACUAUCGUCCCUUCGGGGACAUCCGAUAAAAUUGGAACGAUACAGAGAAGAUUAGCAUGGCCCCUGCGCAAGGAUGACACGCACAAAUCGAGAAAUGGUCCAAAUUUUUUUGAGAUUUUUUUCCCUGUCUCGUCUUCUUCGCUGCCGUUCAGACAUUGUUGUUAGGGUUUUGCUUUUCUGCAUUUCCUUUUCUCUUUGAUUUUGAGUUUAGGGUUUUGUUUUCUCUUCAAUGCAGGUGGUGUUCGUGACGACGUGACUCCUAUUUCAACCAAGUAUUAGGGUUUUGUUUUCUGAUUUUUUUUUGACUUUUCUCUCCCGUUCAGAUAUUAUUAGGGUUUUGUUUUCUACAUUUCGUUUUCCUUUUUUCUUUGAUUUUGAGUUUCUUUCAAUGCAGGUGGUGUUCAUGACGAGGUGACUCCUACUUCAACCAAGUAUUAUGUAUGGUUAAAUUCUUGUUCUGAUUUGGUUAUUCUAUCAUUGUUAUGUGUUUGCGAAAACAUAGCUUUCAGUUUUCGUUAUGUAUAGUUAAAUCAUUGUUCUGAUUUGGUUCACCAUAUCGAUCUUCGUUUCAGAAAACAUCAAAUUCACCAUAUAUAUAUAACAUCAUAGCUUUCAGUUUUAUUCUGAUUUGGUUAUGUAUAGAGUUCAUGUGAUAAUGGUCACCACCUUCUUCAACUGUUGGUAGAUUCUUGUCUUAAUUUCAUUUCAAUGCUACUGACUUGCUUCAAAAUUCUGUCACGUGUAAAACAAGUUGAAUUUCUUUUAUAGGUUAUGGUUUUUCUUUAAAGAUUUAUUUCUUUUGAGCUUUGUUGUAUGGUCUCACUACGUAUCCAAUAGAAUAACCAGCCUUGCAUUACCAUAUCUACUAUGUAAGAAUAGUCAGUUUCCAUAAAAUUGGUGCGUUGCAGGGAAUUGUAGACCUUCCAUUGGAUGACAGUAAUCACAUUCCUCUCUAGUAUGGAGUAAUUUACAGUACCAUUGCAUGCAUGCUCAUAAUUCGUCUUUUGAGAGUUUCUCUUGAAAUGCAUGCUGAGUAAAGUACUUCUCACUGGGAGAUUUUACCACUUUUGAGAUGUUUUAACAUGUAGGCAUGUCUGAAACAUAAGAAUCAUGUCAUUGCAAUGGUUUAAAAAUUAGUAGGUUUUGUGGACUGAUUUCAUUUUGUGAAUGGUCACCAUGUUACCACAUCUUCUUAAUGUGGGACAUACAUGUAAAUUACUCUCUCAAUUCUUAAGCAAUUAUUCAAUCUUGACAAAGACCUCUAGACAGUAGUUUGUGAUCUGUUGUGAACCACAGUCUGAUUAUCUCCAACUAGGCUCUUCAAGAAUAAUAAAUAUAUCAACAUUAAGCUGUGUUGUUAAUAGGAAGAGAACAUGUGCCAUGUCUGAUGCAUGUCUGAAAAGAAAUGAGCAGGCAUUGUACAAGCUAGCAUUGAGUUUAACUUGCGCACAUAUCAAUUGAUUUUCAGUGGCUAUGGUUUGCACUCUUGUUGAAUUUAUCUAUACUUGAUAGAUAGAGGCAUCUAAGACAGUACCAUGUGAUCUAUUGUCUCAUGGGACCCAUCAUUUUAACAAUAAUUUCUCAAUCAAAUGGAUUUCAAGAUACUAUUGGAAACUAUAUAUGCACCACCAUCUUCCUUCACAACAUCACAAACCACUCAAGCAAACAAAUUUACAUACACUUUUCUUAAAUCUGAGAAAUUCAGUUUGUUUUUCAAACCAUUACAAGAUGGGUUUCCGAUUACCUUCUAUUAGACGUGCUUCUUUUAUAGGUAGCCAAGCAUCGUCAAAAACUUUGAAUGUGCCAAAAGGUUAUCUUGCUGUGUAUGUUGGAGAGAAAAUGAAGCGCUUUGUUAUUCCUAUGUCUUACUUGAACCAACCUUCAUUUCAAGACUUGUUGGAUGCAGCUGAGGAAGAAUUCGGAUAUGAUCAUCCGAUGGGCGGCCUCACAAUUCCUUGCACGCAAGAUGUUUUCUUGCAUAUUACUUCUCGCUUCAAUGGACUAUAAAUCUAGAGCUGCAAGAUACUGACAUUAGAUUAGCAGUGACAUUUUGUACAACAGUCACAAUUUUAUAUUUGUAUAGAUUUUUCCUUUCCCUACUUUUGGAAUGGGUUAGAAUUGUCCAUCUGAAUGACAAAUUCAGGAACAAAAUAUUUGUUAUUAUUUAUUUCUAAUCAUAAUGAAAUUAUAUUCAACAACGAACGGGUUCCUAUAUGCUUCUAUUUAUAAAUUCUAAUACAGAAAAUAUAUUGUUUAUUAAAAUUCAGUCCAA
rnacentral:lncRNA from 1 species